rnacentral:rRNA from 1 species
ACCUUCGGGUCUAGCGGCGGGCGGGUGAGUAACGCGUGGGAACGUGCCCUUCUCUACGGAAUAGCCCCGGGAAACUGGGAGUAAUACCGUAUACGCCCUUUGGGGGAAAGAUUUAUCGGAGAAGGAUCGGCCCGCGUUGGAUUAGGUAGUUGGUGGGGUAAUGGCCCACCAAGCCGACGAUCCAUAGCUGGUUUGAGAGGAUGAUCAGCCACACUGGGACUGAGACACGGCCCAGACUCCUACGGGAGGCAGCAGUGGGGAAUCUUAGACAAUGGGGGCAACCCUGAUCUAGCCAUGCCGCGUGAGUGAUGAAGGCCUUAGGGUUGUAAAGCUCUUUCAGCUGGGAAGAUAAUGACGGUACCAGCAGAAGAAGCCCCGGCUAACUCCGUGCCAGCAGCCGCGGUAAUACGGAGGGGGCUAGCGUUGUUCGGAAUUACUGGGCGUAAAGCGCACGUAGGCGGACUGGAAAGUCAGAGGUGAAAUCCCAGGGCUCAACCUUGGAACUGCCUUUGAAACUAUCAGUCUGGAGUUCGAGAGAGGUGAGUGGAAUUCCGAGUGUAGAGGUGAAAUUCGUAGAUAUUCGGAGGAACACCAGUGGCGAAGGCGGCUCACUGGCUCGAUACUGACGCUGAGGUGC